rnacentral:rRNA from 1 species
AUAUUCGCUGAUGAAGUACUUCGGUAAUGAAUCUUGGAUAUCUUAGUGGCGGACGGGUGAGUAACGCGUGAGCAACCUGCCUUUCAGAGGGGGAUAACGUUUGGAAACGAACGCUAAUACCGCAUGACAUUAUCUUAUCGCAUGGUAGGAUAAUCAAAGGAGCAAUCCGCUGAAAGAUGGGCUCGCGUCCGAUUAGGUAGUUGGUGGGGUAACGGCCCACCAAGCCGACGAUCGGUAGCCGGACUGAGAGGUUGGACGGCCACAUUGGGACUGAGACGCGGCCCAGACUCCUACGGGAGGCAGCAGUAAGGGAUAUUGGUCAAUGGGGGAAACCCUGAACCAGCAACGCCGCGUGAGGGAAGACGGUUUUCGGAUUGUAAACCUCUGUCCUCUGUGAAGAUGAUGACGGUAGCAGAGGAGGAAGCUCCGGCUAACUACGUGCCAGCAGCCGCGGUAAUAC